AUUGAACGCUGGCGGCAUGCUUUACACAUGCAAGUCGAACGGUAACAGGCCGCAAGGUGCUGACGAGUGGCGAACGGGUGAGUAAUGCAUCGGAACGUGCCCAGUCGUGGGGGAUAACGCAGCGAAAGCUGUGCUAAUACCGCAUACGAUCUGUGGAUGAAAGCGGGGGACCUUCGGGCCUCGCGCGAUUGGAGCGGCCGAUGUCAGAUUAGGUAGUUGGUGGGGUAAAGGCUCACCAAGCCGACGAUCUGGAGCUGGUCUGAGAGGACGACCAGCCACACUGGGACUGAGACACGGCCCAGACUCCUACGGGAGGCAGCAGUGGGGAAUUUUGGACAAUGGGCGCAAGCCUGAUCCAGCAAUGCCGCGUGCAGGAAGAAGGCCUUCGGGUUGUAAACUGCUUUUGUACGGAGCGAAAAGGCUCCCUCUAAUACAGGGGGCUCAUGACGGUACCGUAAGAAUAAGCACCGGCUAACUACGUGCCAGCAGCCGCCGUAACAC
rnacentral:rRNA from 1 species